GCUACCAGCUAGCAUAGCCUGUUAUGAAUGCUCAAGCUAGCUAGCAUAGCCCCUGAUGACAGCGGAUAAACAGUUUUCCAGGAACUGUAAGUUGCA